UAUAUAAAAUCUAAGAGCCCAAUGACUAGUUGGAAGUAGUGCAAAGUGAGUUCUUAUUAUUAAGUUCCUUUUAGUGAGUUGUAAGCUAAUUAGUGCUUUGAAUUUCACAACACAUCUGGCCUGCAUUUUCUAAGGUAUAGGUUCGACAUUGUGUUGAGAAUAUGGUAGCAACCUCGAAUCCUGAUGAACCAUCUUUUUCUGAUCCAAAAAAAAAAAACUAUUUGGUGGAUUUAGUCAGGUACAUCGAAA
rnacentral:lncRNA from 1 species